GAUGAACGCUAGCUACAGGCUUAACACAUGCAAGUCGAGGGCCCGGCGCACGGGUGAGUAACGCGUAUCCAACCUUCCCAUUACUGUGGGAUCACCUGCCGAAAGGCAGACUCAUACCGCAUGGUAAUGGAUGGGGAUGCGUCUGAUUAGCUUGUUGGCGGGGUAACGGCCCACCAAGGCGCCGAUCAGUCGGGGUUCUGAGCGGCAGGCCCCCCAUAUUGGAACUGCGACACGGUCCAAAAUGCUACGGGAGGCAGCAGUGAGGUAUAUUGGUCAAUGGGGGAUGGCCUGAACCAGCCACGUAGCGGGCAGGAUGACGGCCUAUGGGUUGUAAUCUGCUUGUGAAUGGGGAGAGGUACCAACAGAAGAAGUGACGGCUAAAUACGUGCCAGCAGCCGCGGUAAUAC
rnacentral:rRNA from 1 species